GUCCUGGUAGGGUAGUGGAUAUCCUGGAAGCCUGCGGAGCUUUCGACUUGAGUUCGAGUCUCAGCCGGGACG
rnacentral:tRNA from 2 species